rnacentral:rRNA from 1 species
UAGGGAAUCUUCCGCAAUGGACGCAAGUCUGACGGAGCAACGCCGCGUGAGUGAAGAAGGAUUUCGGUUCGUAAAACUCUGUUGUUAGAGAAGAACAGCGCAUAGAGUAACUGUUAUGCGUGUGACGGUAUCUAACCAGAAAGCCACGGCUAACUACGUGCCAGCAGCCGCGGUAAUACGUAGGUGGCAAGCGUUGUCCGGAUUUAUUGGGCGUAAAGCGAGCGCAGGCGGUCAAUUAAGUCUGAUGUGAAAGCCCCCGGCUCAACCGGGGAGGGUCAUUGGAAACUGGUUGACUUGAGUGCAGAAGAGGAGAGUGGAAUUCCAAGUGUAGCGGUGAAAUGCGUAGAUAUAUGGAGGAACACCAGUGGCGAAGGCGACUCUCUGGUCUGUAACUGACGCGGAGGUUCGAAAGCGUAGGUAGCAAACAGG